rnacentral:rRNA from 1 species
UGGGGAAUAUUGCACAAUGGGCGCAAGCCUGAUGCAGCGACGCCGCGUGGGGGAUUGAAGGCCUUCGGGUUGUAAACCUCUUUCGACAGGGACGAAGUUUGUUUGACGGUACCUGUAUAAGAAGCACCGGCUAACUACGUGCCAGCAGCCGCGGUAAUACGUAGGGUGCGAGCGUUGUCCGGAAUUACUGGGCGUAAAGAGCUCGUAGGUGGUUUGUCGCGUCGUCUGUGAAAUACCGGGGCUUAACUUCGGAGCUGCAGGCGAUACGGGCAUAACUUGAGUGCUGUAGGGGAGACUGGAAUUCCUGGUGUAGCGGUGGAAUGCUCAGAUAUCAGGAGGAACACCGAUGGCGAAGGCAGGUCUCUGGGCAGUAACUGACGCUGAGGAGCGAAAGCAUGGGGAGCGAACA